UGAAUCUCAUCGUUCCCAGUGGGAUAAUACAGUAGUAGACGAGCAAAAAUCAUGGCGAGGCGUUGCAUGUCGUUUUCUCGGACACUUCUCUCCAGCAGUAGGCCAUCAACAGUAAGUUCCUCACCAAGUGUACAAUCCCUUCUCGGCCAGCGCCUUCAGUCUCGCCGUUCUCUUUCCACCAUUCUCACCAGGACUAACGGAGUUCUGGGAUGCGCCCAAUCGCUCUUACCGCUUCACAGCGCUGUGGCAGCCACCCGUCUGACAUCACACAUUCAAAUGGACGCGCGCACUUGUUGCCAGUUGUCUCAGGGUACCUUUUUCUGUCGCACUUGCCCUGAUCGGUAGUUUUCAAUUGUACUUAAGGAUGCAUUACGUAUUAGCUGGAAAACCUGCUGUACCAAACAUUUUGGAGAAUUUUCUGUGAACUUUUCCCUGGAACUACAAAACUGUAAGCUCUAAAUUCAAUUUGAUUUCCUAGUAAUUUUUGGGUUGAUGUUGGAAAUUUCAGAAUUCUUGAAAACCCUGAAAAUGAUAAUUCUAUAGGAGAAACUUAUAGCAGUCCUUACAGUUUUAUGUUGAUAGAGAUCAUCUCUUCAUUUGAAGUAUUUAAAUUUUUUGAUUGGCUAUCACUAGGUGAUUGCUAAUGUUCUACUUUACCAAAUAAACCAAAUUUACAUCUUUCUGAUUUUCUAA